GUAUAUUUAACUUUAUAGGUACAAAAUUAGACCUGAUUCAACAUUCUAGAUGCAUUCAAGAGGUUGUGAAAUGACAUAGAUCCUGGCAAAGGCAAAGCCAACUUCAAAAAAUGAAGCACAGCAGUCCCAACUCGAGAAUGAGACAAAAAAACAUUGAAAAAUUUUUUUUUCCCCCUUCAUAUUUUCCAGGUUCUACAAAUAUGUGCACAGUUGGUCAAAUAAUUAGAACAAGCGUGCACAUUCCCCCAACGGGGGCCAGCAACAGCCUGCUCAUGUUUAUUCAAUGAUGAUCCUUCCGCAGGUUCACCUACGGAAA
rnacentral:misc_RNA from 1 species